UACGGAAGGCAGCAGUGGGGAAUUUUGGACAAUGGGCGCAAGCCUGAUCCAGCAAUGCCGCGUGAGUGAAGAAGGCCUUCGGGUUGUAAAGCUCUUUUGUCAGGGAAGAAACGGGUGAGGCUAAUAUCCUUGCCUAAUGACGGUACCUGAAGAAUAAGCACCGGCUAACUACGUGCCAGCAGCCGCGGUAAUACGUAGGGUGCAAGCGUUAAUCGGAAUUACUGGGCGUAAAGCGUGCGCAGGCGGUUGUGCAAGACAGAUGUGAAAUCCCCGGGCUUAACCUGGGAAUUGCAUUUUGUGACUGCACGGCUAGAGUGUGUCAGAGGGGGUAGAAUUCCACGUGUAGCAGUGAAAUGCGUAGAUAUGUGGAGGAAUCCGAUGGCGAAGGGCAGCCCCUGGGGAUACACUGACGCUCAUGCACGAAAGCGUGGGGA
rnacentral:rRNA from 1 species